rnacentral:rRNA from 1 species
AACGAACGCUGGCGGCAUGCCUAACACAUGCAAGUCGAACGAGACCUUCGGGUCUAGUGGCGCACGGGUGCGUAACGCGUGGGAACCUGCCUUUAGGUUCGGAAUAACUCAGAGAAAUUUGAGCUAAUACCGGAUAAUGUCUUCGGACCAAAGAUUUAUCGCCUUUAGAUGGGCCCGCGUUGGAUUAGCUAGUUGGUGGGGUAAAGGCCUACCAAGGCGACGAUCCAUAGCUGGUCUGAGAGGAUGAUCAGCCACACUGGGACUGAGACACGGCCCAGACUCCUACGGGAGGCAGCAGUGGGGAAUAUUGGACAAUGGGCGAAAGCCUGAUCCAGCAAUGCCGCGUGAGUGAUGAAGGC